rnacentral:rRNA from 1 species
UACGUAGGGUGCGAGCGUUGUCCGGAAUUACUGGGCGUAAAGAGCUCGUAGGCGGUUUGUCGCGUCUGCUGUGAAAACUCGGGGCUUAACCCCGGGCCUGCAGUGGGUACGGGCAGACUAGAGUGCGGUAGGGGAGACUGGAAUUCCUGGUGUAGCGGUGAAAUGCGCAGAUAUCAGGAGGAACACCGGUGGCGAAGGCAGCCUCCUGGGCCAGCACUGACGCUCAUGCACGAAAGCGUGGGGAGCAAACAGG